rnacentral:rRNA from 1 species
GAUUUCUGGUUCGGCGCACUUGGCCCGUCUCGGUUUACGGGAUUGCGUGCCGGUGUGCGCCAUCCAUCCUUCGAUGAGAACAUUGCUGCCCUUUAUUGGGUUGGCAGUGCCUCUCUCGAUCUUUUACUUUGAAAAAAUUAGAGUGUUUCAAGCAGGCUUUUGCUAUGAAUACAUUAGCAUGGAAUAAUAAUUUAGGACUUUUGUUCUAUUUUGUUGGUUUCUAGAAUGGAAGUAAUGAUUGAUAGGGAUAGUUGGGGGUGCUAGUAUUCAGUGGCCAGAGGUGAAAUUCUCGGAUUCACUGAAGACUAACUUAUGCGAAAGCAUU